GAGUAGUGGUUAGCAUGUCUGCUUUACACGCAGAAGGUCCUGGGUUCAAGCCCCAG
rnacentral:tRNA from 1 species